GAACGAACGCUGGCGGCGCGCCUAAUACAUGCAAGUCGAGCGAGAAGACGUAGCAAUACGUUUGUAAAGCGGCGAACGGGUGAGGAAUACAUGGGUAACCUACCCUCGAGUGGGGAAUAACUAGCCGAAAGGUUAGCUAAUACCGCGUACGCUCCUUGGACUUCGGUUCAGGGAGGAAAGCGAUACCGUGGGUAUCGCGCUCUUGGAUGGGCUCAUGUCCUAUCAGCUUGUUGGUGAGGUAACGGCUCACCAAGGCUUCGACGGGUAGCUGGUCUGAGAGGACGAUCAGCCACACUGGCACUGCGACACGGGCCAGACUCCUACGGAGGCAGCAGUAAGGAAUAUUGCGCAAUGGG
rnacentral:rRNA from 1 species